CCUACGGGCGACAGCAGUGAGGAAUAUUGGUCAAUGGGCGCGAGCCUGAACCAGCCAAGCAGCGUGAAGGAUGAAUGUCCUACGUGUCGUAAACUUCUUUUAUAAGGGAACAAAGAGAGGCACGCGUCCCCGUAUGUGUGUACUUUAAGAAAAAGCAUCGGCUAACUCCGUGCCAGCAGCCGCGGUAAUACGGAGGAUCCGAGCGUUAUCCGGAUUUAUUGGGUUUAAAGGGUGCGUAGGCGGGUUGUUAAGUCAGUUGUGAAAGUUGGCGGCCCAAGCGUAACAUUGCAGUUGAAACUGGCAGUCUUGAGUACAGUUGAAGUAUGCGGAAUGCGUGGUGUAGCGGUGAAAUGCAUAGAUAUCACGAAGAACUCCGAUUGCGAAGGCAGCAUGC
rnacentral:rRNA from 1 species